rnacentral:lncRNA from 1 species
CAGUCUGCAUAUCACUGACCCAUGCCCACCUUCCGAAAGAGCGUGAGAACCAGGGCAUUUAUGCUAAUGUGUGGCCGCUGUAAUGCUGGACAUGCAGCCAUGGAGGUGGGUUGUCUCUGCAAGAUGGAAGGGAGAGAGAGAACCUCACUAUCUACCCCCCAUGGCCUGGAACUCAGAGAGCUCCCUGCUUUGGCCCUUCCAGUGCUGCGACGAAGGGCAUGCACCAGUACAGCCUGGCCCUGUUACAUUUUGAGGUCUGAUCUUCCACUGCUCCAGAGCUCAUCAUUCUGCCAGCCUGACGGGCCAGUGAGCUCCGAGCAUCCCCCUGCCUCUGCUGCCAGCAAAUUACAAAUACACACCUUCCCUGCUCGCUCCCUUCGUCAGUCAGCUAGAUCGUAAAGAACAGUAAUCAGGCCAAAGGAACAUCACCAUCAGCCUGCCAUGCAUGCCUCAAAGCAAGAGAUCUAGGGGCAACUAGCCUGAACCCCACUCGGCUGUAAACUUAGCCAGUCCUUAGAGCACCAAUGUAGCUCUGGGCUCUGAUCCAAUUUCCCUAGCUAUAAAAUGAAACUGACUAUCUUGUCUCUCUCUCUCUCUCU